rnacentral:misc_RNA from 1 species
UGGCUCUCGCAUCGAUGAAGAACGCAGCGAAAUGCGAUAAGUAAUGUGAAUUGCAGAAUUCAGUGAAUCAUCGAAUCUUUGAACGCACCUUGCGCCCUGUGGCUUUCCACGGGGCACGCCCGUUCGAGUGUCACGUUAACCCUCGCCAGCCGGACAGUAAUGUUUGGGGAAGCGGAUUUGGAUGUUGCCGGUCGAGAGAUCGGCUCGUCUCGAAAUGCAUUAGCGGAGUGAGACGCAAGCGCGACGUUGAUAAUUGUCUACGCCUCGUGAGUGUCAAGCCUUGCUCAUAAUCGCCGCAAGGCAAUUUUUCACAGUUUGACCUCGAAUCGGGUGGGACUACCCGCUGA